rnacentral:lncRNA from 1 species
GCUAUAUCUUUAACAAAUACAUGCAUGUGUUAAAUGUUUUGCACUUGUGUGCAAGGACUUGGCACUGGCUGGAUAUUUUAGGGGCUUUUUUUUUUAUCAAAAAUCCUCUUCAGUCAAAGUUAUAGUUAUGAAACCUUUGGAAAAGAGGCAAGAAAGCAAUGUGGGUGAGCUCUUGGAGGAAUGGGAGAUGCAGUGGCAAAGUACAGAGUCCAGAGUUACACAGCUGUUUCAUUCAAGCUGGAUGGAUUGAUGUGAGACAUGGAAAGAGAUUUGAGAUGGGGCAAUGUGAAGGAGGUGGAGCUUCUGGGGAAUAGCGAAUCACAGAGGAUGACAGACUGCAGAGAGGUUCUGUACUAUUUUAAAGUUCUAUUUCUUGUGGAUGCUUCUCAACAGGCAUCUUCAAACUCUAUCAUCUUCUUCAGUAAUCACAGAAUCACAGAGUUGUAGGGGCUGAAAGGGACUUCUAGAGAUCGUCUAGUCCAACCCCCCUGCCAAAGCAGGCCCCCUACAGCAGAUUGCACAG